AAGUGAAGAUGGGUAUAUAAUCCACUGAAUUAAACAAUCACAUGAGACGAGUAUAGCCUACAACUUCAGCUCUAUAGGAAUAAGAAGCAGAGUGGACUUUUCAGUACAGCUGUGGACUGACCUUAUUGUCUUCAGAUGAGAGGUUUUCCAUACUUCACUCCCCAUCUCUAAACACAUAUUAUCCACAAUAUCCUUUAUGGGAUAGGACAAGUGGUGUUGCAAACAAUAUUCCAGCAUUCAUCACUGGAUGCAAGAGAGUUGACUACAACUUAACUUGAAGAAGACAGAACUGUUAUUUGUCAGGCUGAACACGUCUCUCCUGCUUGUGCUACAGAUGACCUCCUGCUCUUAAGUCCAAGCCUUCCUCAUCAUAUACUUUUUCCACUUGUCACAGUGGCCCACAAUGAAUAUGCAACACACUUUCUUGUAUUGUACAAACAACCUCCACUACUCUCAGUACAUACACAACUUGUACUGCUUGAAGAUUGAGCAUUCAGGUUUCAUAGUUUUGCAUCAUAUGGUCUGUGAGAAGGAUACAGAAUCCUUGGUGUGAUAGGCAGAAAGUGCAGAGUCCUUGGGGCAGAGUUCUUUUCUGCUGGAAGAGUUCCAGGAAUAUCUUCACUCAAUAAAUAAUCAAUAAUCAUCAGCAUAAAGGAACUGCACUGAUAAAACCUAGCUGAGGAUCUGAUACAAGCUUUGACACAUUUACCUUUAAAAGCAGAUUGAUAAAGGUUUAUUAAGUGUUAGAACAAAUGAUCUUCCUCAUAAAUUUCAAGAAAACAUGCUAAUUUGACAUGCUUGGGUUGACAUAAGAGCUGGUCAAAAAUAAUUGAUGGAACAGUUUUCAGCAAAAAAUACAGUUCCAUUGAAAUCAAAACAUAUUGUGGGAAUGUGUAAAU